rnacentral:rRNA from 1 species
GGCUAGCGUUGCUCGGAAUCACUGGGCGUAAAGGGUGCGUAGGCGGGUCUUUAAGUCAGGGGUGAAAUCCUGGAGCUCAACUCCAGAACUGCCUUUGAUACUGAGGAUCUUGAGUUCGGGAGAGGUGAGUGGAACUGCGAGUGUAGAGGUGAAAUUCGUAGAUAUUCGCAAGAACACCAGUGGCGAAGGCGGCUCACUGGCCCGGUACUGACGCUGGGACACGAAAGCGUGGGGAGCAAACAGG